GUAUUUUUCCUCCAGAACCAGAGCCAUCAAUAGACCUGAAGAACACUGUGAUUAAACAUAUAGGACAUUCCAAUCAUUAUAGUCAAUUCUUAGCUAGCUUUGUGGACAUUCGAUGGAAUAUUGUAUCCUUUGUAUUUUGGAGUUAAGAAUGACGUGACUGUGACACAGAGAAAAAGAUUAGCAGGGGGCUCAGUAACCAAUGCUACUGAAAAUUGAGUUGGGCCCGUAAAUCUGUAAUGAAAAUCUGCAUAGUGCUUACAUUAAUUUUCAUAUGGUGGCAGGUUGGGCCCCUAGUCAGAAAAUGUUAGUCUUAUUCCCUCAGUCGUCCAUUUUCACUGAAGUAUUACACAUUUGUGUUUAGGGGCCAGCUGAAGCACGCCUCAAGGUGUGAGAUUUUCUUGCUGUGUUGUAAACCUAUUGGUGGUCUUUGUCUGUUUUCUGCUCUUUAGUUAGGUUGUUGUCUCUUUGACACACUCCCCAUUUCAAUUCUCAAUUUAAUUGGAUAGAUAUGAUGAAUUUGUGAGGGAAAACUUGAUCACAGGUGAUUCAAAAAUCUAAAUGUUCAACAAUUUACUAAAUUUAUAAAAAAAUCUUUAAGAUCGCCCAUCAAACUCAUACUUUGAUAUAGACAAUUGAGAUUCUUCAAAUGAUGGCUUGUAUCAUGUCAUGUCCUUUAGUGAGAUGUUAGACCUUGAUAUGUACUUUGUAUUAUUUGUAUAUAUAUAUAUCAGAAAAGAAAAACUGAUUUCCUUAACUUGUAAAUAGCCAUCAGAAACAUGUUGUGGUAAAGCUAGUAUUGAACACCUUAAAUGGACUAAAGAACAGUUAGAGUUAAUCUCAGUAUCAAAGGUUUCCUGGGGUAAGAUAUGAUAAUGAUGAGGGGCACAUUACAAUGGGGAUAUUAUUACUGGGGAUUUUAUAGAAAGUCUAUUCAAGUGGGAAGUAUGGGAGGGGUUGUACAACAAAUUUUCAUUUAUGUAUGUGUUGAGGUAGAUAGAAUUCUGAUAUAACUGAAAAUAAAAAUAUUUUGGUUAGUGGUGUAAAAAGAAAAGUGUUGUUCAUCCUCUAAUCCUGUUAGUUUUCCCCUGGAAUAACCCUAAAUGAAAUUGCUGAAUUGCCAUUGGAUAUUUUUAAAUUCUAAGUGAUCAAAUAUGUCUUUGAUAUUUAUAGUGACUAUAUAUAUGAAUUCCUACCAAAUAUAGAGCUAAAAGUAUGUGAUAUCAGAAAAGUCUGAAAAAAGCACCACAAUAUAUGGGCAAUUAAACAUUUCAGUUCUAAUAUUUGUAAGUCUUUAAAAAAUUAAAUGGGUGUCACCAAAAGUAUUUGAUGGUACAACUGACUCCACACCUCAUUAGAAAACAAAAUACACAAGAAAAACAAAACAUCAGUAAACAAUGAAUAGAUUGAUCUAGAUAGCCAUAACAUUAUAUGUUAUUUAGGUCUCAGACAGGGUAUAUACUUUGACAUUCCCGGCUUAGAGUUUAUAUUCCCUGAGCUGAAGGCUAAGGGGAUAUAAGCCCUAAGCCGGGAAUGUCAUAGUAUAUACCCUAUCUGAGACCUGAAUUACACAUAUAUUAGGGAUUACCUCUGUCUCAAUGUUUUUCCAGUGCAGGUACGCCUAUUUGUUUAACAUAAUAAUGAUUCAUGAUGCAGCAUGUAUAUUCAUUACAUCAUGUUUAAUUUAUUGUUACUUAAUAUUGUGAGUAAUCCAUUUAAAUGCACCUUUUUUAUCUUGACAUUUUUUUUUCCUUUAGGAAUAUGUUUCCAAUAAAGUUUUUUGAUUUCAUAUUUUGUGUUUGUAUGUGUGUGUGGCUUUGUUUUUUACAACACAUAUAUUGAAAAACCCAACCUGAUAUGUUCAGCGUACGUGAAGGAUUUUGUAAUUUGCUGUAAAAAUUGUUUUGAUCUUGUAUGUAAUUAUUUAUGAUAACACUUUAAACAUUAAAUUUUAGUAGUUAUUGUUUAAAUUGCGUGAUUUUGUGUUGAAAAUGUAUUAUUGACGGAUGCACGUCAUUAUUUUCCCUGUGAGCCUCUGACAUUCCUUAGUGUUCUGUAUAGCUUUUGACUAUGUCACAUAGUUACUGGUGUUAUGAUGACAUUUUUGAGGUUCCAAUUCGGGAUAAAAUCGUCCUAUAUACCCCGGCAGUUUCCUCAAUAUAUACAUGAUAUACUGACAUCUGCUGUUAUCCAAUCACAAACCUCGACACAUUGGUAAUCGUUAAUAUAAGUUUAUAUUAUUUUUUCCAGAUAUAAGAAUAAAUGAUGAGUUUUAUACAGAUACAUGUAAUCCUGAAGUAUUGGUUGGUAGACUUCUGUUAUUGGAUGUUAAUCUGACCUUGAAAGAAGGUAAGUGUCACAUUACAAAUGGAUUAUAUAUAAUUUAUACUGUGGAUUCAUUUAUUUUCAUGGGUUCCAAAUUUUCGUGGAUUGGGGAAAACUUGCAUUUUAAACAGAUAUAUCAUGUUAAGGAGGGGUAUUUGUGAAAAAUACCAGUCGAGAGAAUGUUAAAUUUCAUGAGCCGUAAGGCGAGGGAAAUUCUUUCUCAAGACUGGUAUUUCUUUCGCAAAUACCCCUCAAGAACAUGCUAUAUCUGUUUAAUUACACUGAAUGUUCACUUUCAAAAACGCAUUGAUGAUCGUAAUGUUACAAGCGUCCAGUAGGAUAGAGUAUUUUUUGGCAAAUACCACGGCAGAGAGGGUAAAAAAAGACAUAUCCUUUAUGCAUAUACCCUGGCGGCGUUAAAAAAUUAACGAUAUUCAAUUGAUAACAGUAAAUUGUCGGAAAAUACACUGGCUAUCAACCAAUCAAAACCCAGGAUUCUUACAUAAGGUGUAAUUAUCGUGGAUAUUUAAUUUUGUGGUUUUGGCAAAGUCUGCACAUAUUUCUUUGGAAAUUUGUAAAUCGUUGAACAUUUGAAUUCGUGGUUCCCCGGUACACACAAAAUCCACGAAAAUUGAUCUACAACAAAUAUAAGAGAAUCCACAGUAACAUUGAAAAAAAUUGUUUGAUCAAUUCAAAAUCAAUUUUAUCAAGGUUAAUUUUAACAAUUGUUAGGUGCUGAUCUGGAAGAGAAUCUGAAGGGAUAUGUUGUAAAUAUUCUCGACACAAAAUCUUUACAAGCUUGACAAAAACUUGAAAAGAAAAGAAACAAUGAAUUAAUGUACGAACAAUUUCUGACACCUCUAUCCAAGGGAAAGAUUGUCCCUAGCAUUUGUUAAAGUAGAUUUCUAUGCUAAGAUGGCAAUGAAGCUACAUACUGCCUUUUAGUCUUAAAAUUUAUUUUGUACUUACAGUACAAAAUUUGUGCUCUAAACACCAAAUCCAGUAUUUCAUUUGUUGAUUUUAUAAAGAUAUGAGUACACUGAAAAUUGGAUGUUAGGUACAUAUGAACUAUAGUAUCUAUUGGUGGCCUUCGGCUGUUGUUUGCUCUUUGGUCGGAAACAUUCCCCAUUUCCAUUCUCAAUUUUUUAAAACCAAACGCAUUUUAAUGGGUUUUUUUGUGUUUGUCUUGUAACUAUCUCAUCAUGUAAAUUGUUUUUUCUAUGACAGUUGGUAGAUUUCUAAGUUGAUAAUUAAAUUUUAAUUUUGUAUAUUUGAACAUUGAAGAUGAGCAUUCAUUUUAUGUUAAUACUAUUUUGCACAGAUUUAGAGGCCAGUGAAGGUGAACUUGAAGUAUCAUGCUGUAGUAAAGUUAAUGGUGAGAUAGACAGUAUGUGUACUUUAAUGGGAACAGACUCUCUUUUGGUGCCAAAUGUGAGUACAUUUAUACAUAAAACUCUGUAGUGGAAGAUCCAGGGGUUAGAACCCCACCCCCCUUUUUUUAAGAUUAGAAUGGGAACGAUGCAAAUAUUAAAUAUGAUUAUUAGAACUUGUAUUUUGAACUAGAUACCUAUAAUGAUUUACUUUUAUGAAUUGUUACUUGGAUGGUGAGUCGUCUCAGUGGCACUCAUACCACAUCUUUCUAUAUCUACAUAUAUCUGUAAUCAGAUUUCAAUGAAGUCACAAUAAAUAUUUUUGCUGUUUUGUCCAUUUCAAAAAUAUCAACUAUAAAUGCACACAAUAAUUUCUUCCUGAACCUCUGUAUAUAUUUAUAGGAAGAUAUGGGAUGAGUGUCUAUGCCUAAAUCUCUGUUUGUAUGACAACCUACAUCUUACAUGUGUAAACUGUUGCAAAUAAACAUAAAUAAAUUAAUACAAUAAAAUAAAAUAUACAGCAUCAACACAUUAACAUAGAAAAAGAAACAAGAAUACAAUAUACAUAAGCCAUAAGAGUACAUUUGUAUUGUUGAAAAGUUGUGAAUAAAUUUGAUUAAAACUACCUGUGUUGAAACAGUCAUAUGAACAUGUGAAAAGAUUGAACAGCUUUCUUUAGUCUCCAUGUCAAAAUGUUAAUAAAAACAUUCAUAUAACUAAAAUUGGUCUGGGAAAAGCACUAAACUCUAUCAUUUAAGAAAACGUUUAGUGAAGAAAAAAAAAUCCAAUGGAAGAGGUGAAAAAAUUUUGUAAGAAAAUCACCUAAAACGUAAUACUUUACCUGAGCAAUUGUGGUUAUUUCUGAACUAAUAUUGUUUGUUAAUGAAACAACCUACUUAAAGGAAAUUAGAGACAGAAACAUUAGGAUGAUAAAUGUGAAAUAUUUGAGAAAACAAACUUUUAAGGAAGCUGAAUAAAUGUGUAAGAGUAACAGAAAAGAAUUAAAACUUUAUGUACAGUCCUACAAUAUAGAAAACAAAAUAUGUACAGUCCUACAUUAUAGAAAACAAAAUAUGUGUAGUUCUACAUAAUAGAAAACAAAAUAUGUACAGUUCCUACAAUAUAGAAAACAAAAUAUGUGUAGUUCUACAUAAUAGAAAACAAAAUGUGUACAGUCCUACAUUAUGGAAAACAAAAUAUGUACAGUCCUACAUUAUAGAAAACAAAAUAUGUACAGUCCUACAAUAUAGAAAACAAAAUAUGUGUAGUUCUACAUAAUAGAAAACAAAAUAUGUACAGUCCUACAAUAUAGAAAACAAAAUAUGUGUAGUUCUACAUAAUAGAAAACAAAAUAUGUACAGUCCUACAAUAUAGAAAACAAAAUAUGUGUAGUUCUACAUAAUAGAAAACAAAAUGUGUACAGUCCUACAUUAUAGAGAAAAAAAAAUAUGUACAGUCCUACAAUAUAGUAAACAAAAAUAUGUACAUCCUACAUUAUAGAAAACAAAAUAUGUACAGUCUACAAUAUAAAACAAAAUAUGUGUAGUUCUACAUAAUAGAAACCAAAUAUGUGUACAGUUCUACAUAAUAGAAAACAAAAUAUGUGCAGUUCUACAUAACAGAAAACAAAAUAUGUACAGUUCUACAUAAUAGAAAACAAAAUAUAAUAGAAAACAAAAUAUGUGCAGUUCUACAUAAUAGAAAACAAAAUAUGUACAGUUCUACAUAAUAGAAAACAAAAUAUGUACAGUCCUACAUUAUAGAAAACAAAAUAUGUACAGUUCUACAUUAUAGAAAAUAAAAUAUGUACAGUCCUACAUUAUAGAAAACAAAAUAUGUGCAGUUCUACAUUAUAGAAAACAAAAUAUGUACAGUCCUACAAUAUAGAAAACAAAAUAUGUACAGUCCUACAUUAUAGAAAACAAAAUAUGUACAGUCCUACAUUAUAGAAAACAAAAUAUGUACAGUCCUACAUUAUAGAAAACAAAAUAUGUGUGCAUUUAAACCAAAAUUUAUAAUUAUUUUCAGGUUGAUGUUUCUAGUGCUGUGAAGUUUUCAACAUCAUUCCUAUUUCAUGUUAGUGGACAUUAUACAUUGAAUGUUAAAUUCACUGUAAGACGGACUAACACUGAGAGUAUAGUGUUCAAAUGUUAUAAGAUUCUGUUGAUUGUUGACGAAGAGGACCGAUAAAAUAAAUGUUAUAACAUUCUGUUGAUUGUUGACGAAGAGGACCGAUAGAAUUAAUGAACUUUUUUAUUAACCAUAGAAAUCGUUAACGAAGUCAUGUGUGCUCUUUUUAGCUGAAUGGGUUUCUACUAGGAGUGAUUUAUAAAACCAAGUGUCAUCAACUUUUGAUAAUCCACUCAAAAGUAAUUUCUGGACUAAAGGGAAUGUUAAUGAAGUUAUAUGUGCUCUUUUCAGCUGAAAUCGUCUCUUCCGGGUGUGAAUUAUUAAACCAAGUGUCGUCAAGUUUCAAUAAUCCACUCAAAAGUCAUUUCUGGACUAAAGGGAAUGUUAACGAAGUGAUGUGUGCUCUUUUCAGCUGAAUUCGUCUCUUCCAGGUGUGAAUAAUAAAACCAAGUGUCGUCAAGUUUCAAUGAUCCGCUCAAAAGUAAUUUCUUGACUAGCGAAGUUUUAUGUGCUCUUUUCAACUGAAUUCUUCUCUUCCAGGUGUGAAUUAUAAAACCAAUUGUCAUCAAAUUUCAAUAAACCAGUUUAAAAAUAACAUCUGGGAAAAACCAGGUUAGGGAAAUACCUGUCAUACAAGUUUACAAGGUGACACAUUGAAACCAUCACAUGUUUAUUCACUUCAAGUUAUUUGAAAAAUUGUCCAAGUUAACCAUUUAAAACUCAACUAUUUUAUUUUAUUCAAGUUUUUAAUAUGACAUCAUUUUGAGCUUUACAACUACUUAUAUUUUGAUUAACCAGAUAAAUUAUAAAUAGAAAAUUAGAUUUUCUCCCAUGUUUGAAUUUGCUACACACAUUAUUGCUUUCUAAAGAUCAGAUUCAUAGAAAAUAAAACUUUUAUACUGCAUUUAUUGUGAACUAUGGACAUUGAUUCAUUUAUUUAAUGCUGGUAUUUAUCCAAGGCUGAUUUAUUUUUUAAGCCAUUAAUACAAUUAAAAUAUUGAGUUCAGUAUCAACAGGUGAUUUUUAAAUACUGUAAAUUCCGA
rnacentral:lncRNA from 1 species